rnacentral:rRNA from 1 species
AUUGAACGCUGGCAGCAUGCCUUACACAUGCAAGUCGAACGGCAGCACGGGAGCAAUCCUGGUGGCGAGUGGCGAACGGGUGAGUAAUAUAUCGGAACGUGCCCAGUAGUGGGGGAUAGCCCGGCGAAAGCCGGAUUAAUACCGCAUGAGACCUGAGGGUGAAAGCGGGGGAUCGCAAGACCUCGCGCUAUUGGAGCGGCCGAUAUCAGAUUAGCUAGUUGGUGGGGUAAAGGCCUACCAAGGCAACGAUCUGUAGUUGGUCUGAGAGGACGACCAGCCACACUGGGACGGAGACAAGGACCAGACUCCUACGGGAGGCAGCAGUGGGGAAUUUUGGACAAUGGGCGCAAGCCUGACUCAGCAAUGCCGCGUGCAGGAAGAAGGCCUUCGGGUUGUAAACUGCUUUUGUCAGGGAAGAAAUCCCUUGGGAUAAUACCUCGGGGGGAUGACGGUACCUGAAGAAUAAGCACCGGCUAACUACGUGCCAGCAGCCGCCGUAACAC